rfam:Callipepla squamata strain Texas jcf7180005185366, whole genome shotgun sequence.
ACUGUAUUUGUUAUUAAGAAAAGGUCGGGGGCAUUUCGUUUAUUGCAUGACUUACGUGCUGUUAAUACACAGCUUCUUCCUUUUGGCCCAGUUCAGCAGGGCGGUCCUGUCCUAUCAGCCAUACCAAAGCAAUGGCCAAUGGUGGUGAUUGAUCUCAAGGAUUGCUUCUUUUCCAUUCCAUUGGCUGAGCAGGACAGAGAGGCAUUUGCAUUUAC